GUGGACGGCCACAGAUGUCUGCCGAUGGAUUUGGCCUUUAAUUUAAAUCCAAUGGCCUUUUUGACUUCUUGCGGCUUGCGGUGCUUAAAUACAGCUUACGUGUCCACCUAUUGUAGCUUAAAUAAAAGUUACGUGUCAAUGUUAUGGUUUAAUGGAAAGACACCUCAUAUCUCUAUUUGAUCUUUCCAUCUACCUAACCUAUCUAAAAUUCUCUACACAUUACAUACGAUUUUAUCUUAUGUUUCCUCUCAAAUUUGUAUCUGUUUCUUUGUCUUUCAAUCUUUGUCUUUCCAAAUUGAUUUUGUUGCUCUUAUUCUCGCUGAUUCCACUUUGAUCUCUCCCGAGUGAGUUCAGUUCAUGAUCUAUUUUUUUCUCUCUUGGAUAUUUCCUUUUAGUUUUGAGCUCAGUGUUGAGUCGGUUACUUCUUUGUUUAAUCUGAUUUUGUUUGUUCUUCUUCGGUUACUUGCUCUUUAACGUUUUGAGGUAGUUGUAAAAAUUUCAAUCUUACAGCCAUAGAUGUUUGGUCAUUGUGCAAGUUAAACCUCACGUAUGUCAACGCUGCUUUUGGAAUCUCACCAGUUUCCUUCAUGAAUUAACCUUAUUCUACGUCAUAAGCGUUCUUCUCAUGAGCCAUCUUUGCCUUUUGGCCAUUGCCUCCACCCAUGGCUUUGUUUGUUCUUCGAUCUUAGCCUGUACAAAUUAGGUUUUUUGUUUUUUUUGAGAAUGUAAAUUGAGUUAUUAUGCUUGUCUAAUUGCAAGAUGCUGGAUUAUUAAUUUAGUAUAUGUAAUGUGGUGUUGGCGGAUUUGUAUGCUUGUAUAAGUUGUCAAGCUCUUGUUUUUCUAUUUAUAUGCUAUUGUGCUUGCGAGUU